rnacentral:lncRNA from 1 species
GUGCUGCUGCGAGCAGCUGGAAGAGGCAAGGAGCAAUUUUUUUCCUAGAACUCCCAAAGGGAGCAUGGCCCUGCUGGAUUUCAGACUGCUGGCCUCCAGAACUGUGAGCAAAUAAGUUUCUUUUGUAGUAAGGUGCCAAAGUUGUGGUAAUUUGCUACAGCAGCCCCAGGAAACUAAUACAAUGUCCCACUGGCCUCAUUGUGAAACUCAAAGGAGAAAGAAUGUAACAGGACUUCAUGAAUGGUCGGCCGCGUACAAGGGCUCAACAUAAACAACAACUGGUCCUGACACCAGGAGAAUAAUAGAAGUUCGCUCAAAUGUGGAGCUGCCGCGGAGGAGCAAGGAGAUGGAGAGAAGUGUACCGACAGGAGGCACAAAUGUUCUGAGGGAGAGGACGUAUUUCCAGCUGGAGGAAUCAGGGACUACUUCACGGAGAAGGUGGCCACUAGUUGAAAAGUCUCAUAUCACCAUCCUUGUUAGAACCCGUGUCAUCAUUUCUUUCGGCCCCAGAGAUGACAUGACUUUCCAAGGAGUACACAAUGAAGAUCCAGUGCUGGUCUAGGUACUCUUAUUUCAUGUGCUUUUCCCUCCACCUGGGGUACUAAGGCAGACUAGCUAAGAGCCAGGAUGCCUGGGUUCAGUCGUGGCUCCCAUACGUACUAACUCUACCUGGGCAAGUUACUCACCCUCUUUUACCCACCAACAAAGUGGGCAGUAAUAGUAAUACCUACCACAUGGCUUAUUAUGAGGAUUAAAUAUGGUAAUGGGUUUAAAGUAAAUAUUAGUUUCCUAGGGCUACUGUAACAAAGUGCUGCAAACUAGGUGUCUUAAAACAACAGAAAUUUAUUGUCUCACGUUUCUGGAGGCUGGAAGUCCAAAAUCAGGGUGUUGGCAGGGCCAUGCUUCUUCUGACGACUGUAGGGGAGAAUGUUUUCUUGCCUCUUCCAGCUUCUGGUGUUGCCAGCAGUCCUUGGUGUUCCUUGGCUUGUAGAUGCAUCGCU